AUGGCCCUGUGCUGCCCCAUGGCCGUGGGCCUCAACAAGGGCCACAAGGUGACAAAAAAACGUCAGCAAGCCAAGACACAGCCCGCCUGCGCCAUGGGCACUUCACCAAGCACACCAAGUUCGUAAGGGACAUGAUCGGGCAGGUGUGCAGCUUCGCGCCCUACGAGCGGCGAGCCAUAGAGUUGCUCAAAGUAUCCAAGGACAAGCGCGCACUCAAGUUCUUCAAGAAGAAGGUGGGCACACACAUCCAUGCCAAGAGAAAGAGGGAGGAGCUGAGCAACGUGCUGGCAGCUAUGAGGAGGGCGGUGGCCAAGAAGGAUUGA
rnacentral:lncRNA from 1 species